UACGAAGGGUGCAAGCGUUACUCGGAAUCACUGGGCGUAAAGCGUGCGUAGGCGGUUCGUUAAGUCUGCUGUGAAAGCCCUGGGCUCAACCUGGGAACUGCAGUGGAUACUGGCGGACUAGAGUGUGAUAGAGGAUGGUGGAAUUCCCGGUGUAGCGGUGAAAAUGCGUAGAGAUCGGGAGGAACACCAGUGGCGAAGGCGGCCAUCUGGAUCAACACUGACGCUGAGGCACGAAAGCGUGGGGAGCAAACAGGG
rnacentral:rRNA from 1 species